UGACAGUACUCCUACGGGAGGCAGCAGUGGGAAUAUUGCAACAAUGGGCGCAAGCCUGAUGCAGCCAUGCCGCGUGUGUGAAGAAGGCCUUCGGGUUGUAAAGCACUUUCAGUUGUGAGGAAGGUGGUGUUGUGAAUAGCAGCAUCAUUUGACGUUAGCAACAGAAGAAGCACCGGCUAACUCCGUGCCAGCAGCCGCGGUAAUACGGAGGGUGCGAGCGUUAAUCGGAAAUUACUGGGCGUAAAAGCGCAUGCAGGUGGUUUGUUAAAGUCAGAUGUGAAAAGCCCCGGGCUCAAACCUGGAAUUGCAUUUGAAAAACUGGCAAAACUAGAGUACUGUAGAGGGGGUAGAAUUUCAGGUGUAGCGGUGAAAAUGCGUAGAGAUCUGAAGGAAUACCGGUGGCGAAGGCGGCCCCUGGACAGAUACUGACACUCAGAUGCGAAAGCGUGGGGAGCAAACAGGAUUAGAUACCCUGGUAG
rnacentral:rRNA from 1 species